rnacentral:rRNA from 1 species
GGUUAAGCGACUAAGCGUACACGGUGGAUGCCCUGGCAGUCAGAGGCGAUGAAGGACGUGCUAAUCUGCGAUAAGCGUCGGUAAGGUGAUAUGAACCGUUAUAACCGGCGAUUUCCGAAUGGGGAAACCCAGUGUGUUUCGACACACUAUCAUUAACUGAAUCCAUAGGUUAAUGAGGCGAACCGGGGGAACUGAAACAUCUAAGUACCCCGAGGAAAAGAAAUCAACCGAGAUUCCCCCAGUAGCGGCGAGCGAACGGGGAGGAGCCCAGAGCCUGAAUCAGUGUGUGUGUUAGUGGAAGCGUCUGGAAAGGCGCGCGAUACAGGGUGACAGCCCCGUACACAAAAAUGCACAUACUGUGAGCUCGAUGAGUAGGGCGGGACACGUGGUAUCCUGUCUGAAUAUGGGGGGACCAUCCUCCAAGGCUAAAUACUCCUGACUGACCGAUAGUGAACCAGUACCGUGAGGGAAAGGCGAAAAGAACCCCGGCGAGGGGAGUGAAAAAGAACCUGAAACCGUGUACGUACAAGCAGUGGGAGCACGCUUCGGCGUGUGACUGCGUACCUUUUGUAUAAUGGGUCAGCGACUUAUAUUCUGUAGCAAGGUUAACCGAAUAGGGGAGCCGAAGGGAAACCGAGUCUUAACUGGGCGUUAAGUUGCAGGGUAUAGACCCGAAACCCGGUGAUCUAGCCAUGGGCAGGUUGAAGGUUGGGUAACACUAACUGGAGGACCGAACCGACUAAUGUUGAAAAAUUAGCGGAUGACUUGUGGCUGGGGGUGAAAGGCCAAUCAAACCGGGAGAUAGCUGGUUCUCCCCGAAAGCUAUUUAGGUAGCGCCUCGUGAAUUCAUCUCCGGGGGUAGAGCACUGUUUCGGCAAGGGGGUCAUCCCGACUUACCAACCCGAUGCAAACUGCGAAUACCGGAGAAUGUUAUCACGGGAGACACACGGCGGGUGCUAACGUCCGUCGUGAAGAGGGAAACAACCCAGACCGCCAGCUAAGGUCCCAAAGUCAUGGUUAAGUGGGAAACGAUGUGGGAAGGCCCAGACAGCCAGGAUGUUGGCUUAGAAGCAGCCAUCAUUUAAAGAAAGCGUAAUAGCUCACUGGUCGAGUCGGCCUGCGCGGAAGAUGUAACGGGGCUAAACCAUGCACCGAAGCUGCGGCAGCGACACUAUGUGUUGUUGGGUAGGGGAGCG